rnacentral:lncRNA from 1 species
UGGUUGAUCAUGGAUGACUAUCGUGAGUCCUUCACUGUAAGUCUGAUAUGUGGUGUUAUCUUUCAAGUAAUCAGAGGUUUGCAGAAUUAACAAGGGAGAGGAAGCCACAGAAUACAAGGAAAUUUGUUAUCUAUUAAAACCAGAGCAUCACAGUUGGGCAGUAGCUUUGAAAUUUGACAGGACUGUUUUCCAUGCUUGACGGCAGUUUGGUUUAAAUUAGAGAGAAAGUAGACCUUAAGUCUCUGUCAAACUUAGUGUCUGAAGACAGUGGCCACACUGGCAGCAAAACGUGAACCUGGUCAUGGUUGAGUCAACAGUGGUGGAUGGCACUCUAGGUUUAAUAGAAGGAGCUGAUAUCCUAUUGAUGAUAUUUGCCUCUGCAAAAUAUUCCAGUUGUCCUCAGAUUGCUGAAGACCCU